AAUACCAGCUCUCCGAGUGGUGUGGAUGUUUAUUGGGCCUAAAGCAUCCGUAGCUGGCUAGGUAAGUCCCUUGUUAAAUCCACCGAAUUAAUCGUUGGAUCGCGGGUGAUACUGCUUGGCUAGGGGACGAGAGAGGCAGACGGUAUUUUCGGGGUAGGGGUGAAAUCCUAUAAUCCCGGGAAGACCACCAGUGGC
rnacentral:rRNA from 1 species